AUGACAGUGUCUGGUAAAGAAACCCCGGCUAAUUCCGUGCCAGCAGCCGCGGUAAUACGGAGGGGGUUAGCGUUGUUCGGAAUUACUGGGCGUAAAGCGCACGUAGGCGGAUCAGAAAGUAUAGGGUGAAAUCCCAGGGCUCAACCCUGGAACUGCCUUGUAAACUCCUGGUCUUGAGUUCGAGAGAGGUGAGUGGAAUUCCGAGUGUAGAGGUGAAAUUCGUAGAUAUUCGGAGGAACACCAGUGGCGAAGGCGGCUCACUGGCUCGAUACUGACGCUGAGGUGCGAAAGUGUGGGGAGCAAACAGGAUUAGAUACCCUGGUAGUCCACACCGUAAACGAUGAAUGCCAGACGUCAGCAAGCAUGCUUGUUGGUGUCACACCUAACGGAUUAAGCAUUCCGCCUGGGGAGUACGGUCGCAAGAUUAAAACUCAAA
rnacentral:rRNA from 1 species